rnacentral:lncRNA from 1 species
UUACAAUAAAACUCUCCUCUUCCCUUUCAUUUUCCUUUGAACUAACUUCAUUCCGGCUCUCUGUUGUCUUCAGCCUCCACCACAGUUGCUUUAGACACGGUGACUGAUGAUAUCAGGACUGCUUAUCCAACCGCCAGUGCCAGGCCUUGCUCUGUUUAACCUUGGCCUUUGAGGUACCUGAUCAUCUCUGCUAUCCUCAGGCCGUUCUCCUCAUUUUCCUACUAUCUUAUCAGCCGCUUACUCUUACUCUGUUCCAGUUGCUGGUUUCUUCUUUUCUUUCUGACCUCUGGAUGUUUCUCCCUACCUGUAAGCCUGCUGGCUUAGUCCUUGAACCUCUUUUCUCAUCCCUGUAAGCUCACUGGUGGUGAUGCCCAGCUUAAUGGUGUAAACACCGUCUCUACGGUUUCAGAAUGUUAACAUAGUGUACGUCACCAACACAUGUCUGAGCAAAGUCCAGCAGUGUUCUCAAUACUGCACACAGAUGUCUGAUGGGUGCCUCAAUCUUCCUGAGCUCAAAAGGCAACUCCUGAUCCUUCCUCUAAAGCUGGUCCCUCCCAUGUGCCUUCUUCCAUCUAGAUAAAUGGCGACUGCGUUUUCCACUUCCUCAGGCCAAAAAACAUGAGGCAUUGCAUUAGAAGAAUCUUGUGAAAUAUGAGAAAAAGUGCAUCAGUCCCUUGCUGCUGCAGGGACGCCAUGAGAGCCAACGCCGGAAGAGCACACUCCUGGAUGGCUCCCUGCCCUGUGCAUGGCUUGCUCCCUACCCCAUUCUCACUUGUGGAGGUUCAAACGCCCCCUUGAGGACUAUUCAUGGGAUGCUUCUUUACCGUUAAACGUAUCUUCCUUCCACCAGCAGCACUUUCUGUCUGCCCUUCCUGAAUUAUUUCCAUAGCAUGCGUCAUCAUUUAGGAUACUGUGUAAUUUACUUCUGUUUUCUAUGAGUACCUGUUUCCACUAUUAUUAUAGAACGUAACUCAGAAGA